CCUCCUCGUCUUUCACUUUCACCCAGCACCCAGAAGCAGAGUAACUUCCUCCUCCAUUUCCUUCCUCGGCGCUGGGCCCAGGACCCAAAAGGCGAUGAGAGCCCCUGCUGGUGUGCAAUCCCUUUGUCAGUAUUUACGGAAGUUUCCAAGAGGGAGUGAGAAAGAGACCAGCAGAACAUUCAGCAGGAGAGAGGUCUCUGAGGAAGAUGUACCACUGCCUGUGAGACCUUCCCACUCAUUUCCUCUGGCCAAGACCUCCUCAUCCUUCAAGUCUCAGACACGGCUUCCUCUGGGAAGCUCCCCUGACCCUGAGGCUGAGACAGGAACUGCAGCGAGUUCAUCACACCGCCUGACCUCACCCCCACAUGCUCAGCACACUAAGUCCCAGGUGCCCGCUUCCUCAUUCCCAGCAGAAGGCGCAGAGUUUGCAGACUUUGACACUUUGUCUGUAGGUGGCUCGUGGGAUGCUCAUUUAAGGCGGCAACCAAGGUGAAUUAGAGCAAGCCCAGACAGAGGUGCUGCUCACAGCCAGGUGUCCAGCCUAGGCCCCUGCCUGGUCCUGAGGCUAAUCUCCAUUCCAGAAGCAAAGCAGAGCUCCCUAGGAGGCUGAGAAGACAUGAAAAGGCCCAGCCUCGGACCACACCCCACUUCACAGCCCAGGCCCUUUCCAACAGAGCUGAAUACAAUCUUUCUCCAAUGACUGGGCCAUGAGCCACUACACCUAGGCCACCUGUAAAAGUAUCAACUUCCCACCCCUGCCAGACCAUGGCCAAGAACAAGAGCCUUGAGAUCUGUUUACCUUAUGCCCUGACAUGGCUGGGCUGGAACACAAAACACCAAGGCUGGGACAUGCCUAUAAUCCCAGCUACUCAGGAGGCUGAGGCAUGUGGAUCAAAAGUUGGAGGCCAGCCUGGGC
ensembl:lncRNA